ensembl:lincRNA
UUCCCUUUUCACAUGAAGUUCUGACUUCCUUGAUAACUGGGACUAAAAUAAGAUCUCAAGACACAAGGCUAGGGCUAGGAAGGAACUAGGGAUUUUUUUCUCUCCUCCUGAGAGCAAAGGACCUCUUCCAUUCAGGCCCAUCAGGGGCACUGAGCACCUCCCAGCUGGCCCUGGCAGGGCAGCCCAGGGUGUCAGCUUUGCUCUUGCUCAGCCCCCUCUGUGCUGAGGUCCACAGGGCAUACCUCUCCUCUACCUGCAGCUCCGGGAAGUAGCUCUGAUUCGGAAAGGGAAGGAGAAAGGCCUGAAGCCUCCCUCUGCCUCAUCUGUCCCUAAGAAGUGGCUAAGUAGGCACAGUGGGCAAAGGAGGCUGAGUGACUGCUCAGAGCCGGCAGGGGGGAGCACAGGGCUUCAUCUGUGUGACUGCAGUUCUUCCUGCUGCUGCCCAUGGACACCAGAACUUCAUCGGUGGACCACAGCACGAAGAGAGAAAAAAAAGCCUCAUAUUCAAUCGAAAACAGUGCCAGCAUUUUUAAAGUCGAGUGGAGAUAAAACAGAUGGUCCUCUGAGAAAAAUACUCCAAAGCCAUCUCACCUUAAAUUAUCUUGUGUUGAGCUCCCUUGACAAAGGCCUCCUGAGAAUGUUGCUUAGACGAAAGAAGAAUCAAAAACACAGACUCCGUGAAGAAUAUAAGAGAAAAUAAAUGGAGACACAGGAUGAGAUUCAGAGUUCCAAUUGGACACCGGCAUUCACAGUGGCACAAUUCAGUGAUAGCCAGAGGUGGAAGCAAUCUAAAUGCCCAUCCUCAGAGGAAAAGAUGAACAAAGUGUGUCGUAGAUGCACAAUGGAAUAUUAUCCAGCCUGAGAAAGGAAAUUCUGACCCCUGCUGCAGCCUGGGUGGACCUCGAGGGCAUGAUGCUGCAUGAAGUAAACCAGGCACAAAAGGGAAAAUACUGUGUGAUUCUAUUUCUACGAGACACCAAAAAUAGUCAAAUUCGUAGAGACAGAAAGUAGAAUGGUGGUUUCCUGGGCUGGGGGAGGGGGAACAGAAAAUUGUUGUUUAAAGGGUACAGAGUUUCAGUUUGGCAAAAUGAAAAAGUUCUAGCAAUAGUUGCCUGUGAGCAACAACAAUGUACUUAACACUACUGAAACGUACACCCCGAAAUGCUUACUUAGGUGCGUUUUAUCUUCUGUAUAUUUUCCACGAUGAACAUGAUUUUAAAUUAAAAUUUGGAAUAAAGAAUAUGAGUGACUAAGGCUUCCCUUCCUUGUCACAUGUGUGUAUAUCCUCUUCUCCAAGAACCAUAGUGUGAGUUUCCUGCCUCCAAAUGUAGCUAGGCCUCCAUUUCCACACCCUCAUCUUUGAAAGAGGGAGAAAGCAGCUCUGCCCCCAUUUGACUUGUGGAAAAACCAAGAGUCAGGGAUGUUAAGAGACUUCCCAGACCGCAGAGUCACAGGGUCUGCUCCCAGUGAUGAGUACCUGGUGGAGCCUUUGUAGAUUUACAGCCCCAAAGGGCCGAGAUAACGGAGCCAACAGCAAAGUCUGCCCAUGGGGAAAAUGGAAAGCGCUAGGACCCAUUUUCCAACAGGAGUUCUAAAACCUGCGGCCAAGCACAGCCCAGCAGGAUUUCACAUUCCCUCGUGUAAAUAAAUGUGAUGCCCAGGCUCUCUGCUCGGCUCAGCACCCCUCCUGCUCCUGGUUACCCCCAGAGUGCUGGGCAGUGAAGGGUUCAAGAUGCAGAAUCCGAAAAGCAAUUGUAAAAUGAGGAGAGGUGCAGAGAUGGGAAAAGGACCUGGGUGAGCACAGAGAUCCCACACCUGCUCAGGGAAUGGAACCAGCGGCUGAGACCAGGACAGGUGGGUGGCGGCCAGAGGUGACCACAUGUGUUUCAUGUGCAAAGUCCCAGGACACAAACAUUCUGUCUCCCACAUCCCACUUUUUCUUGGCCCUGGAUCGUGUCCAUUUUGCUGUGAGUGUGUUGUUCCAUCUCCCUCUGAAGCAGGCCCCUGGACCCCACACCUGCCUCUGUACCUCCUUUUGUUAGUUUACAGGGUUACCAUAACAAAGCAC